GUGCCUCCGGUCGACUCGUCGACAUCAUCAGAUCAGCAAUCGACCCUCUGGUCCAGGCGGUGGCUAGCUAGCGCAACGCCCAUGGGGUGGGCGAAGAAGGCGGCAGUGGCGGAGACGACGGCGCGGGUGGUGGACGACAGGUCGACGGUGGACCAGGCGGUGGCGUACGUGCUCAUGGCCGCCGCGCUCGCCGUCACCUACCUCGUGCACUGAGUUCUUCUUCACCAUAGAUCGAUGGAUCGAGAUGGUUGUACAGCUCGCUACUGCUUGACAUCGUUUCUUGUCUCGAUUCGAUGCAUGACUCCAUGUCCUCUCACCAAAAAAAAAAUAAUACAGUAAUUGCCA